ensembl:snRNA U6 U6 spliceosomal RNA
GUGCUCACUUCAGCAGCACAUAUAUUACAACUGGGAUGACGCAGAGGAGAUUACCAUGGACCCUGCUCAAGGAUGACACACAAAUUCAUGAAGCAUUCCAUAUUUUU